CGAAGCAGAAUUGUGUUCUUUAGUAAUAACCGUCAACUGCGAGCCAGGAAAACAACAAGGCCCUGCGUGCUAAGGCGGAACUGCCACAGUGGACGAGCUUUUCACCAUGCCCUCGUUUCCAGCUUUAUUAUGCUGUGUUUUCUUGGCAUCAGUGUCUGCCAUCGUGUUAUGUCCGUCUCCCACCAAUUAUGGUCCUGCAACUACCGUUGCAUCCUUCAAUACAACAACACCAAAGUACCCUUGGAGCUGUCCUGGAGAUGCGCAUCCCAGUAGCCACAACGAAAGCGCAGGCUGCUGUUGGAGUGAUCGGUGCCAGGAGCUCCACGGAUUCUGCUGCCAAGUGGCCCGUGAAGACCCUUGUUCAUGUGCCGGAUCAUGUUGUAAGGAGUUCGCGGCUUUCUUAUGUAAUAUUACCACAAACGCCACCUGUCCAAAGUAGUCUACCCCUAAAUACAGUAUUUCUCCUUGUAACAAAUCAUCGUAUCAUUGUGAAUUCCAACGUGUUCAAAGUUUAUUCAUCACAUAUUUAUACUGCCAGCAUGCUGUACGCCGGCGGCAUCUUUAUCUUACAAAAGCAAAUUCUGUUUUCAGUAAUUUUAAUAACGCAAAUACUGUGUUCAGUAAUUCUGAUAACGCCAAUUCGGCAACUUGCCCUGGAACCAGGUCUAGAAUUUUACAGUUCGGUGUACCGUUGUGUCGCGUGUU